GUCAGAAUAGUUUAUUCGGUUAAAACAUUUAUCUCAUACGUAUUUAUAGAAAGUUCAACUCUUUCUUCUGACU
rnacentral:tRNA from 1 species